GUGCUCGCUUUGGCAGCACAUAUACUACAAUUGGAACAAUACAGAGAAGAUUAGCAUGGCCCCUGUGCAAGGAUGACAUGAAAAUUCAUGAAGUGUUCCAUGUUUUU
ensembl:snRNA U6 U6 spliceosomal RNA